GAUGAACGCUGGCGGCGCGCCUAACACAUGCAAGUCGAACGGCACCCCUCCUCGGAGGGAAGCGAGUGGCGAACGGCUGAGUAACACGUGGAGAACCUGCCCCCUCCCCCGGGAUAGCCGCCCGAAAGGACGGGUAAUACCGGAUACCCCGGGGUGCCGCAUGGCACCCCGGCUAAAGCCCCGACGGGGGGGGAUGGCUCCGCGGCCCAUCAGGUAGACGGCGGGGUGACGGCCCACCGUGCCGACAACGGGUAGCCGGGUUGAGAGACCGACCGGCCAGAUUGGGACUGAGACACGGCCCAGCCUCCUACGGGAGGAAGCAGUGGGGAAUCUUGCGCAAUGGGGGGAACCCUGACGCAGCGACGCCGCGUGAGGGACGGAGGCCUUCGGGUCGUAAACCGCUUUCAGCAGGGAAGAGUCAAGACUGUACCUGCAGAAGAAGCCCCGGCUAACUACGUG
rnacentral:rRNA from 1 species